UGGGGAAUUUUGGACAAUGGGGGAAACCCUGAUCCAGCCAUCCCGCGUGUGCGAUGAAGGCCUUCGGGUUGUAAAGCACUUUUGGCAGGAAAGAAACGUCAUGGGUUAAUACCCCGUGAAACUGACGGUACCUGCAGAAUAAGCACCGGCUAACUACGUGCCAGCAGCCGCGGUAAUACGUAGGGUGCAAGCGUUAAUCGGAAUUACUGGGCGUAAAGCGUGCGCAGGCGGUUCGGAAAGAAAGAUGUGAAAUCCCAGAGCUAAACUUUGGAACUGCAUUUUUAACUACCGGGCUAGAGUGUGUCAGAGGGAGGUGGAAUUCCGCGUGUAGCAGUGAAAUGCGUAGAUAUGCGGAGGAACACCGAUGGCGAAGGCAGCCUCCUGGGAUAACACUGACGCUCAUGCACGAAGGCGUGGGGAGCAAACAGG
rnacentral:rRNA from 1 species